rnacentral:lncRNA from 1 species
AGGUAUGAUUUCUUCUCUUAUGGCACCUCUUUUCUAUAAAAUGUGGCACCUUGCAUUUCCUGAAACGCCACUUGUUCCCUGAUUAUGCUCAACAAAUGCAUUGCAGGUCUAUGGACCAGAGGCCACCAUGACUGGGAUCUGCAAAGAAGCCAUUGAUUGCAUCAUGGCCGCAUAAAUCACAAUGUAGUUGUGCUUGAAGUUGCAUCCGUUUUGUACCAGACGUUCAAUGUAAGCGAUUGUUCCGGUAAAACAGAGAACGAUCAUUGUCAUGAGUAAACUCGGCCUUUGUAACACAAUUUAUGCAAUAAUCAAGAUCUUGGUUUGGGGGGCUCUGUCGCCCUUCUAUGGUGAGCCGGUGAGGUGUGAACGUAUAAUGCACUUGUGAUCCCAAGAUUGAAGAGUACGUGGACAUGCUUGGUAUUUUAUUUUUCUUUAGGAUCCUGUACUGUCUCUGCGGAUUUGUGUUGUUUCUCCUGCGUGUUCUGUUUAUCCUUGGUUGAGAGUUGUGACUACAAAUUUGCUGGCAAACUGGGACUAUUCGACUUCUCGGCUGUGAUGCGGAGCUAGUUCAGAGAGAAAAACAAGAUCUGUAUUCAUCUUUGUUCUUGCUGUAGUAACUGCAGACCAAAACCUAAGAGAUAUGUGAAACUUUACAUCAGCCAGCGAGUAUAUAAUAGACACAUGCUCCUAAUCGAUCAGGUUGGAAACAUUGUUCGCCUAGAUAUAAGUUUAGCACUAGACUCUGGUCUAGGCAUUUGACUGUCUACAUAGUUAACUCUAGGCAAAGACCGUCAAGACACGAAGGCUAGACAUGCCUUAGAUUUUAUUAGACAAUCGACUAGGUCUAGGUGUCUUAGAGCAACUCCUGGGCCUCUAUUUGAGUCUCUAUAGUUAAACAUGAGUGCCUAGACUAAAAAUAACACUCCAGCAGGGUUCCUACUAGAGCCCCCAAUUUUGGGUGGGCACCCAAAUUUCCCCUGCAGACUCCAAUCCUGUUGGCUCAACAACCCCAGCCCUCAUCCUGCGUGGUGUGGCCAUUACCUCCCCGCACCACACAGCCUUGCCCACCUCCCUCCAGUGCCGAUCUCCACUACUGCGCUCCCUCCCUCCACCGCUGGCUGGAUCCGCCGGUGCGCAACUCCAGUGCGGCCCCUUCCCCGCCAUGCGGGCGCUGCCCCGAUGCGCCGAGAGCUUUUAUCUCCUUUACGUUCUGGCCUCUAUGUGGAGGAUGUGAGAAAGAAAGGUUUGACCCAAUAACCAGUGGAUCCCACAUGUCAUUGUUUGUCAAUUUGGAUUUGGGGCCUUCAUUUAGGUGGUCCUGUUGGAGUAAAAGCAAAAAUUUUGAGCACCUAAAAAUAGGGAGAGCACCCAAAUAAUAAGUAGGGCCCUGUUCUUUGGGCUACUGCUGGAGUUAGCUCUUAGACUUAUGUCUAGGCAAUGUGAGAACCCAAAUCUUACCUAAACAAUGUACAAGGAAACAUUCAACCAUCAUACAUAGAUCGAUAUUACUUAUAAUUAAGUCAAUAAUCAUAUCAUGUCAUGUCAUGUCAUGUCAUGUCAUGUCAUGUCAUGUCAUGUCAUGUCAUGUCAUAUCAUAUCAUAUCAUAUCAUAUCAUAUCAUAUCAUAUCAUAUCAUAUCAUAUCAUAUCAUAUCAUAUCAUAUCAUAUCAUAUCAUAUCAUAUCAUAUCAUAUCAUAUCAUAUCAUAUCGAUUCUCUUUGGUUUCUGUAAGUUGUAAAUUAUCAUGUCUAUAUGCUAGAGGUGAUGAUUUCUUUUAGAGAGUAGAGAUGAUGAAUUAAAUGUGUGAUAAACUGAGAACUUGGAACUAUCAUAUUUAAAAUCUCAACUUCUCAUAAUAUUAUCUUAGUGUUUUGGAUGCUAGAGUACAUUUAGCCAAUUAUAUGUGCAUUUUUCUGAUAUCUGUUUGAAAAUUUUGAAAUUUUAGCUACUAUAAAUACAAAAUCAUCUAAUGCGUGACACGUCUAGUGUUGGUCUAGACCGUUAGACACUUGAGCAUUUGAACAUAAACCUACAGGCAAUGUGUGAAGCUCCACAGUCACGACAUGUGACACAGCCAUCACCGGCGUUUCUAACAACCUUUUUCUUUAAGGCCUGUUUACUUCUACCCAAAACCCAAAACUUUUCAAAAUUUCUUGUCACAUCGAAUCUUUAGACGCAUGCAUAGAGUAUUAAAUAUAGACGAAAAUAAAAACUAAUUACACAGUUUGGUCGAAAUUGAUGAGACAAAAUCUUUUGAUCUUAGUUAGUCCAUAAUUAGACAAUAAUUACCACAAACAAACGAACGUGCUACAGUGUCGCGAAAUUUUUUCCUUCGAGAACUAAAUAAGGCCUAAUUUUGAAACCAUUUAAUAUUUUAUUGUAUAUGUCCAAACAGAUAGAGCGUAAAUAUUUUGGGAAAGAACUAAAUAAAAACACUUCAAAUUUUUUUGAAGCCAAGCACUACCAUGCCUGCUCUCAGCUCGGAGUCUCGGACCGGCAGCUAGCCUCCCGUUCAGUGAACACCAGAACUUUUGAUACCAUUAUUAGCCCGUACUCUCCAUCUAGAAUGUAUUUAUCCUGAGUAAAACUUUGCUAAGGCCUUGUUUAGAUCCAAAAAGUUUUUAGAUUUUAAUACUGUAAUACUUUUGUUUUUAUUUGACAAACAUUGUUCAAUCAUGAAGUAACUAGGCUUAAAAGAUUCGUCUCGCAAUUUACCGACAAACUGUACAGUUAGUUUUUAUUUUCAUCUAUAUUUAAUGAUCCAUGCAUGUGCCGUAAGAUUUAAUGUGACGGAGAAUCUUAAAAAAAUUUUGGUUUUUUGAGUGAACUAAACAAGACCUAAGUUUAUGGAAAAAGUACUCCCUCUAUUAUAAAUUAUAAGACGUUUUGUUCUAGAUCUAUUUCAUUUUCUAUGCACUUAGAUAUAUAAAUAUGUCUAGAUGCAUAAUUAAAACAAUAUAUUUAGAAAAACCAGAAUAUCUUAUAAUUUAAAAUAAAUAGAGUAAGUCAGGCUGAAAAGUAUUGUUCGCUAAUUUUUUGUGAGAAAAGAUACUGUAACAUGACGGAUAAGUUUAAACAAAUAGAAACACUAUAACAUGGCUGAUAAGUUCAAGCGAACAAACAACCGUAUUACAGUAUUUUCUCUAAAAAAUCAGCAAAAGAUACUUUUCAAUCUAGCUUAUCAGCAAAGUGAAUAAUGCUAGCAGUACUUUCAUGACUGAGAAAGUUUCUAUGAAAUCACAAGAAGCACCUCAUGAGUUUCAAUAUUUUAAAGGUUCCUACUAGAGGUUGACAUUCUAUCGACUAUUUUUCAGCUUCUUACAAGCAUUUCAAAACCUUUUCAAUUGGAAAAGCAUUAACUUUUAUGAGAAAUUAGCCCAUCAACUUUGAACAAACAACAGGCCAAUGCUUACAGUGACGACAAUCCUUUCUUAAAAUGACAGGGACUUCAAGAAAGUAAAGCCUUGUUUAGUUCACGAAAAGAAAUUUUUUAUGUAUCACAUCAGAUAUGUCAGUACACAUUUGAAGU